CCAUUUACAGGACAGUUCUGUGCCCUUCCUCAGGAGGUCCCAUUCCUUCCUUCUUUUGGUCGGUUCUGAGUGUCAGCUGUCUACUGGGGAUCUGCUAAGGCUAAGAGGCAAAGAUAGGCAAGUCACUCCCCUGACCUCAAGAAACUCCCAGUCUACAGGCGAAGAUACACCACCCACCGGUAGAGUCGCUGGACCAGAAUAUUAGGUCUUCCCGUCAAAGUCACCCGGAUUUGCCAAAAGACCUGGCACAAAUGUCACUUCCACUAUGAAGUCCCACUGACUUCCAUAUACAAGACAAUCUGCUGGGAAUUUCUUGGGUUGACAGCUCUUGGAUCCCUAUUUUGAACAGUGGUAGUGUCCUGGAUUACUUUUCAGAAAGAAGUAAUCCUUUUUAUGACAGAACAUGUAAUAAUGAAGUGGUCAAAAUGCAGAGGCUAACAUUAGAACACUUGAAUCAGAUGGUUGGAAUCGAGUACAUCCUUUUGCAUGCUCAAGAGCCCAUUCUUUUCAUCAUUCGGAAGCAACAGCGGCAGUCCCCUGCCCAAGUUAUCCCACUAGCUGAUUACUAUAUCAUUGCUGGAGUGAUCUAUCAGGCACCAGACUUGGGAUCA
rnacentral:lncRNA from 1 species